GCUACGGGUGGCAGCAGUGGGGGAUAUUGCACAAUGGGGGGAACCCUGAUGCAGCGACGCCGCGUGGGUGAAGAAGGGCCUCGGCGCGUAAAGCCCUGUCAGCAGGGAAGAAAAUGACGGUACCUGAAGAAGAAGCCCCGGCGAACUACGUGCCAGCAGCCGCGGUAAUACGUGGGGGGCAAGCGUGAUCCGGAUUUACUGGGGGGAAAGGGGGCGCAGACGGCUGUGCAAGCCAGGAGUGAAAGCCCGGGGCCCAACCCCGGGACUGAUCUUGAAACUGGGUGGCUGGAGUGCAGGAGGGGCAGGCGGAAUUCCUGGUGUAGCGGUGAAAUGCGUAGAUAUCAGGAGGAACACCGGUGGCGAAGGCGGCCUUCUGGACUGCAACUGACGUUGAGGCCCGAAAGCGUGGGGAGCAAACAGGAUUAGAUACCCGUGUAGUC
rnacentral:rRNA from 1 species